rnacentral:tRNA from 1 species
AAUAACUUAUUUUAGUUUAUUUUAUAUAGAAAUAAUAGUUUUUUAACUAUUUAUUGAAUUAGAAGUUCAAUUUUUAUUUAUUU